UACAGAGGGGGCAAGCGUUGUUCGGAAUCACUGGGCGUAAAGCGUAUGCAGGCGGACCGUUAAGUCGGGGGUGAAAUCCUAGGGCUCAACCCUGGAACUGCCUUCGAUACUGGCGGCCUUCGAGUCCGGGAGAGGUGAGUGGAACUCCGAGUGUAGAGGUGAAAUUCGUAGAUAUUCGGAAGAACACCAGUGGCGAAGGCGGCUCACUGGCCCGGUACUGACGCUGAGGUGCGAAAAGCGUGGGGGAGCAAACAGG
rnacentral:rRNA from 1 species